rnacentral:lncRNA from 1 species
AUAAUGAAGUUAUAAUCCAAAGGGAAAUUAUACAUAAGCUCUUAAUAAGUGCAAGCAUGAGCUAGCAACUUACUAGACUAGACUAGAGCAUGGUAGAUAAGCAAUUAUUUAUAAUCCAAGGACUAAAAUUAAUAAUAACGAGGAGGAGGGCCUGGACCAGGAGGAUGCGGUGGCUGCGGAGGACCUGGAGGGCCAGGCGGCGGUGGGGGCUGAUAAAACAUGGCUGGCGGUGGGGGAGAUGGUGGGCCAUGUGGUGGUGGUGGAUGGUGAUGCCCGAAUGGUGGUGGUGGGGGAGCAGGAGCGUAAGGAUCCCGAGGUGGACCUGGCGGUGGUGGAUUAUAGUAACCAGGUGGUUGUGGAGGACCUGGUGGUGGUGGAUUAUGGUAACCAGGUGGCGGUGGACCUGGUGGCCCGGGUGGUCCUGGUUGCGGAGGCCAGUGCCUGUGGUCGUGGGGGUAACUCAUGCUCUUUGCUUGUAGAUGGAGAGUGGUGGUGGUGGAGAAAAUGAUUUGGUUUGCUGAAUUUAUUAAGAUAAGAAUGGAAGGUUCAAG